GUCCACGCCGUAAACGAUGUCUACUAGCCGUUGGUGCCCUUAGUGGUGCUGGUGGCGCAGCUAACGCAAUAAGUAGACCGCCUGGGGAGUACGGCCGCAAGGUUAAAACUCAAAUGAAUUGACGGGGGCCCGCACAAGCGGUGGAGCAUGUGGUUUAAUUCGAUGCAACGCGAAGAACCUUACCAGGUCUUGACAUCCAGAGAACUUUCCAGAGAUGGAUUGGUGCCUUCGGGAGCUCUGAGA
rnacentral:rRNA from 1 species